CAUUUCUGUUCUGAUGUUUCGUGUGUGUUUAGUGAAUUUGAGUUUGUGGUCGAUUGUGAUUCCAAGGUACCUUACGUCGUUUUUUAUUUUUCCAUUACCAUUUAUAAAACCAUGUUAUUGUGGUGUUUGCUAGUGUUUGGAGUCUUUCAGUCGCUUUUUCGGUAGUUUUGUCGUAUACAAUAAGUGCCGUGUCGUCAGCGUAUUGUAAUAUGUAUGCCGUUCUGUCAAUUUGAUUUUUGUCUGGUAAGUUGUAAUUGUAUAUGUCAGGGCAGUAUAUACUGUAGAGAAAGGGUGAGAGCGGGGAUAGUUGGGGGAGGCCUUGUUCAGGGAAAAAAAAAGGAGAGUGUGUUAUCAAUUCGUACUUGUAGUUGUCUGUUUUCUAAUAAGUUCUUUAUGGUGUGUAGUAGAUAUGGUGGUGUGUGGAGUUUGUAUAGUUUGUAUAGUAAGCCCCUAGGCCAGACACUAUCAAAAGCCAUGUUGAUGUCCAUGAGUAGAGAUGCAUACUUUCCGUCAGUUAGGCCAUAUCGCCAGCAGCCCCAAAUAUCAAUAUCUAAGGGAUUAAGAUCAGAGCUAAGCGAUGGUUAACCGGCUGCCUGGAAAAUGUUAAUUCGUAAAUAUUGAACCGGUAACGUAUAUUAAGGCAGUGCGCUAGCAUGCCUUAUAUCUAGUGGAACCUCUAAAUCAAUAAACAUUUUGUUACAAG